GUGAGUCAUCGAAUCUUUGAACGCAUCUUGCGCCCGGUGGUAUUCCGCCGGGCAUGCCUGUCUGAGUGUCAUUACUAUCUCAACCCUAGCGAUGUCGUCAUGGCGUUGCUGCGCGGCUUGGAACGUGGACGUGGCAGGCUCGCCUGCCCGUCUUAAAUGGAGUGGCUAGCCGACUAUUCAGCGGUUUGACCGGGUGUUGUAGAGUCGCCUCACUCGGGACGCUGAUCGGAUUGAGUGAGUUGUAAUUAUUACUUCGUUGCGAUUUAGUACCUCAGAUUCAGGUAGGACUACCCGCUGAACUUAAGCUAUCAAUAAGCGGAGG
rnacentral:rRNA from 1 species